rnacentral:rRNA from 1 species
AUUGAACGCUGGCGGCAUGCUUUACACAUGCAAGUCGAACGGUAACAGGUUAAGCUGACGAGUGGCGAACGGGUGAGUAAUGCAUCGGAACGUGCCCGAUCGUGGGGGAUAACGCAGCGAAAGCUGCGCUAAUACCGCAUACGAUCUGAGGAGGAAAGCGGGGGACCGUAAGGCCUCGCGCGAUCGGAGCGGCCGAUGUCAGAUUAGGUAGUUGGUGGGGUAAAGGCCCACCAAGCCGACGAUCUGUAGCUGGUCUGAGAGGACGACCAGCCACACUGGGAAUGAGACACGGCCCAGACUCAUACGGGAGGCAGCAGUGGGGAAUUUUGGACAAUGGGCGAAAGCCUGAUCCAGCGAUGCCGCGUGCAGGAAGAGGGCCUUCGGGUCGUAAACUGCUUUUGUACGGAGCGAAAAGGUCCUUUCUAAUACAAGGGGCUCAUGACGGUACCGUAAGAAUAAGCACCGGCUAACUACGUGCCAGCCGCCGCCGUAAGAC